ACUAAAGCAGAUUACGCUCCACAGUGUGGGCAGGCCUCCUCAGCUGAUGACUAUUGAAGAGUAAAGCCUGCCCUCCCUUGAGUGAGAAGGAAUUCUCCCAGCAGCCUGCCUUUGGAUUAGAAUGUCAGUUUGUCUCCAACCUACUGGACUACCCCCAUAAAAGUGGGACUCACCAGGCCUUCACAGUCACUGCUAGAGAUGGAACCCGGGGCCUUUCCAAGGAGGCGGCCUAUGAGCUCUUGGUUACACCCCCAAUUCAUGGACUGGAAUGACCCUCAUUGAAGUGUUCCAGAGUCCACAGCACAGGUGGUCUGCAGACUCAUCCUCCUACCCACCUCUUCCCAAGAGAGAAAGGAAACCUCCUGAGCCUUCUUCCUAAGCAACGUGCUUUUAAAGUAAGAUUGAUUUUGAUUUUAUGUGUGCAUAUGCCUGCUUGUCUGUAUUGUAUGUGCAGCAUGUGUGUGCAGGUGCCCAGUCGUCAGUAGAGUUCCAGGUGGUUCUGAGCU